rnacentral:tRNA from 1 species
GAUAUAGCUUAGUUGGUAGACUGCUUGCCUUGCAUGCACAAAGCCCUGGGUUUAAUCCCCAGCCAAUCG